GACAAAGGUGCUGCACACAGGGCCAUGCCCAACCAGCAGGCUCUCAGAGGACUCUUGAGGUGGAAAUGAAAACAGCCUCAUUGUCUCUGAUUGCAACUUUAACCCUGUCUUGAAUUGUCUAAGAGGCUGGGGGCUGACAGCUGAAUCCAAGUCUCAGACACACAGACUUUGACCUUUGCAGUCCACUGACCUGCAGAAUACAUCAGUUAAUACACAUAGGAAGAGAUGCAAGAAAGAGCAACAUGAAAGUGGGUAAAGGAUUAUCAAAGGAGGAGUAAAGAGACGGAGAGCAGAGAGGCUGAGCAAAGACAUCUAGAUUAAUGAUAAGGCGACCAAGGGACAGC
rnacentral:lncRNA from 1 species